rnacentral:misc_RNA from 1 species
UGAACUGCGGAGGGAUCAUUAAAGAGUUUACAAAACUCCCAAACCCAUGUGAAUUUACCCCUGUUGCCUCGGCGGAAGUUACCCUGUAGCACCUACCCUACAGCGGUUCGAGCCUACCCUGUAACCCGCCGGUGGAUUUUGAAACUCUUGUUAUUACAGUGUCAUCUGAGCGUCUUAUUCUAAAUAAGUCAA